UUUUUUAUAUGAUGUCUCAAUCUUAGUUCAAUUCCUUUAUUAUUAUUUAUCACCCCUUUUCUGUCCCCUCUCCUAAUUUCCCUUCCCUAGUCACGGUUUCCCGGCUUACCUAUCCUUAGUUAAGACCGGUCGUGACAGAAUGGUAUCAGAGCAGUUCGUUUGCUCUGAACCCAAGAGUUAUCCCAAAAUUUAUUCUUUACUGAAUACUAGUGUUAGAAAGGUCAGUUGACAAAAGCUCAGCACCUCAUCACAACAUCCUGCUCAACAGAGAAACAGAG
rnacentral:lncRNA from 1 species